CGUGGGUGAUCUGCCUCGCACUUCGGGAUAAGCCUGGGAAACUGGRUCUAAUACCGGAUAUGACCUUUCAGUGCAUGCUGUUGGGUGGAAAGAUUUAUCGGUGCGAGAUGGGCCCGCGGCCUAUCAGCUUGUUGGCGGGGUAACGGCCCACCAAGGCGACGACGGGUAGCCGACCUGAGAGGGUGACCGGCCACACUGGGACUGAGACACGGCCCAGACUCCUACGGGAGGCAGCAGUGGGGAAUAUUGCACAAUGGGCGAAAGCCUGAUGCAGCGACGCCGCGUGAGGGAUGACGGCCUUCGGGUUGUAAACCUCUUUCGACAGGGACGAAGCGCAAGUGACGGUACCUGUAGAAGAGCACCGGCCAACUACGUGCCAGCAGCCGCGGUAAUACGUAGGGUGCGAGCGUUGUCCGGAAUUACUGGGCGUAAAGAGCUUGUAGGCGGUUUGUCGCGUCGUCCGUGAAAACUUGGGGCUCAACCCCAAGCUUGCGGGCGAUACGGGCAGACUUGAGUACUUCAGGGGAGACUGGAAUUCCUGGUGUAGCGGUGAAAUGCGCAGAUAUCAGGAGGAACACCGGUGGCGAAGGCGGGUCUCUGGGAAGUAACUGACGCUGAGAAGCGAAAGCGUGGGUAGCGAACAGGAUUAGAUACCCUGGUAGUCCACGCCGUAAACGGUGGGUACUAGGUGUGGGUUUCCUUCCACGGGAUCCGUGCCGUAG
rnacentral:rRNA from 1 species